GACGAACGCUGGCGGCGUGCUUAACACAUGCAAGUCGAACGGAAAGGCCCUGCUUUCAGGGUGCUCGCGUGGGGAGCGGGUGGGUAACACGUGGGUGAUCUGCCCCUUUCUUUGGGAUAAGCCUGGGAGACUGGGUGUAAUACUGGAUAGGAACAUGCUGUAGGCGGUGUGGUGGAUAGAGUAGGUUCGGUUUGGGGUGAGCUCGCGGCCGAUCAGCUGGUUGGUGGGGUAAUGGCCUACCAAGGCGUCGACGGGUGGCCGGCCUGAGAGGGUGGACGGCACCAUUCAGACUCCUACGCGACGCAGCAGCCUACGAUCGGCAGCAGUGGGGGAUAUUGUACCAUAGGCGCAGGCCGUGUGCAGCGACGCCGCGCGGGGCGUGACGCCCUGCUGGUUGUAAACACCUUUCAUCCAUGACGAAGCCCUUGUGGUGACGGUACUGGUAGAAGAAGCACCGGCUAACUACGUG
rnacentral:rRNA from 1 species